UCUGUUAAAGACAUUUUUGGACUUUUAGUUUGGGAUGAGCGCGAUCCAGGAAGGAGUGGACUAAAAGACGGUCACCUGGCUGAAGGGCUGAGUUCCACACCAAAAAACUGUCAGAGUGCCCUAGCGACUAUCAGCAGGGGCACUAGCCAAGCAAGAAAGCUGUGACACCAGGCCUUGCCAGGAAGGGGCACCUAUCGGCUCUGAAGAAGGCCUGCCCAGAGACAUGGAUGCCAUGCUGAAGAGCCUGCUGACAGCAACCCCCAGCACAGACAGACUUCAGCACAUCUUGGAGCCUCUCACACAGAUGUACCCUGCAGCAGCCCAGCUGACGGAGCAGUGGGGACAGGUGAUCUCAUCCUGUCAAACCAAGCAACAUGGAUCUCAUUAAGUCUCAGAUGGAAGAUUCCAUGCAUCUCCUGGAGAGGAUGUGUCCAGGAUCCUGGAUAAUGUUUUCUGCAGGAGGUUUGAGCAGGGAGAGAUCACUCACUGUCUUCAACCCGGGUCUGCAGGGUUCAUGGGAGCAGCCACACUCCAACCCUCCACCUGGAAGUCUGCUGAAAAUUGCUUACCUAGGACCCAUGAAGUUCAGCCCCAGUUUGAGGCUUUACUCCUGAGGUCCUAUUGGAGGAGUCCCAAAGAAGCUAAUUGGCCCUCUGGCCCUGCUUAAGACAGCAGCAGGAACAGGAAGCUGACUGAACAACAGGGCUGCUUCCUGUUCUGGACCGUGUGCUGCCUGUUUCUUCUGCCACUCCCCUGGCUUGAUUUCCUGGCAUCUGAUUUGUGGUUGUGAUUGCAAGUUUGUCUUAUGCUUCUGAUCUUCCAGUAUCCUGACCCAGCUGACUCGCAACUCCUGUCAUGUGAGUGUGGACUCUGGCUCUGACCAGUAGGUCUAGCUGCCCUUGACCCAGCUGUGACAUUGACUUUUGGACAAUUUUUCCAAUGCUUUUUUUCGCUGUCUGGCAAGAUACACCAGUACCUUGGCUCCCAAAGUCCUGAGGGAUAGUGCUUGUAUUGCCCCCAUCCCCAUCCCCAUCCCAGCUGCUUUUCCUAUGGGAAUCUCUCUAGAGCAGAGGAGAAAUCUGCUCUUCUCUUAGGAUCAGUCCCAGCAGUAAUUCCACCCACCGCAGCUCAGCUACUUUGUUUACCUGGGAUCAGGGACCACUUUUGAAGCCCUUAGCUUGUGGAUGGAGGUGGGAGCAGAGGCUGAAGCUCCAGCAGUUUCCACCAAAGAACACCACCCUGUCUUUCUAUCGUCUGUCUAGGGCUCACAAUCCAUCUUGGAGCUGAACACCAGAUAGGAGCUGAUAGAUGUUCAUGUCCUUGUGUGUGCUGGAGCUGUGUGCCAGAGAGGGCCAGGAGAAGAUGCUCCACGCAUGGCCAGGACCAGGCUAAACAGCCUGUAAUGCUAGGUGAGUCAAACCAUGGCCACAUAUAGACAUCUUGGGCAUCUAUGGGGACUGAAUCUGGGCGCUUCGCUGCCAAGAGCACAACUCACUCCAACUUGAGUCAUUAUGGUAGUGACCCCUGCCAGCCCCUCUGAGGGGGGGUCAGUAUUAUCUCUGUUAGCUGAGGCACAGAGAUGGAAAGCAACUGGCUGCAAGGUCACACACAACAUCACUGACAGAGGCAGGAAGGAAGCAUGGUACUGAUACCAGUCCAGCUCCAACCACUAGACUUCACCCACUUCCAAAGCCAGAGAACCCAGGAGCCAUGACUCUGACAGCUAGAUCUUAAAUGACAAGACCAACCUCCCUCCCACUCAGGAAGCCACAGAAGGGACCAUUUGCUGAGCUCCCCUUUGCAAUGCCACUGUCAGAGACCAUUGGUAGUGGGUGCCAAGUGACUGAGCAGGGAACUCCUUGAAAGACUUCUAGAGACUUGCAGGUGUUUCACUGUGACCCUCUGGAAGCUGUGGAAAGAGAGCUACAUUGAAGAGACUCUUCUGCUCUAACAAAGGGUUUCUUGUUCUCCUAGACAGUCAGCCAGUGAGGCCAGGUCGCAGAAUGUGGAAGAGCUGUUUGGCGAUGGGUUGGAGGAUUCACCAUGUAGGUGGCAGCAGCUGCUGUGCCCUCAUCUUGCCAGGUCACAUAGCUCUGCACCCAGGCACAUUCUGCUGGGACAUCUCCCAUCACCUCCCUCAGCUCGAAAGCACCUUGGGUGGAAAAUUUUCCCUCCUACAGUCACACCCACCCAGCCCCGUCCCUCUCCCAGUUUCUCCAGCCUCAGCCCAUGGGCCCCAGGGUUGUGAAAAUGCCCCUGGGUGUGUAGGGUCCUGUCCCCCGCAUGUCCUGGGGAGAGCAGCUGGCCCCAGACCACAGGGAGGGAUCCAGCAAUGGCCCAAACACCAACCGACACCUGGGUAGCCAGCAGGGCUGGGCAGAGUGGGACGGGCCCUGGGGCCUUGCUCCUUGCCUGGGAUGGGGUGGGGCUGGCCGGUCCAGGCUAAUGGGAUUGUGGGCAGCCCCAUUAGGGCCAGAUCUGGACCUGCGCCAGGACUGUGGUGGUGUCAAACCCCAAGCCCGUGAGCACCAGGGGACACUGCAGAGUGAAUGGGAUCCCCCUGGGCCCGGCCUGCCCCAGAUCCCUCUCCGCUCAGCCAACGCAGCCUGCCCCAGAUCCCCCUGGGCCCAGGCCACCCCUACUCCCACAGGACACACCUGGGGAUCAGACUGUGACAAGAUCAGCUCGUGAGAAAGCCCCAGAUCAGACACACACAGGGACAAAUUCACCCCGGAGCACAGAGUGACAUGCACACGCUGACAGAGCACACACCUGAACAUACUCCGCACCCAGAUGCAUACCCUUGCACUUUGCACACACACACACACGCCCACUGCCCAUACACACUGAGCACACACACACACACACUCCGACUCUCUCUCUCUCUCUCACACAUACACGGCAGGGGACACACCCAGGAGAGACGACUGUGCCACACGUCCUCUCCAGCCCUUGCCUUUCCCCCAGACCCUGAGACUCAGGUGGUGCUGGGGGUAGGAGGGGCAGGACACAGCUCCCACUGACUUGGUUGGACAUGGGCAUCUCCAGAAGCCAGGCCUGCCCCUCCCCUGGCUGGGUUGCUGCCCCUUGUGAUAUCCAGGGACUUGGUCAGGGAACCCAUCUCUGAGGGGAACUGGUUAGGGCUGGGGGUUGUGAUUAUGGGGUACCCAGGGCACCCAGUAAGGGGGUAGAUUCACUGGGGCACUAGGGUCAUGCGGUUAGAGAGUCUAGGAGCCAGGACUUCUGGGUUCUAUCCCUGUCUCUGGCAGAGGAGUGGUAUCUAGUGGUUAGAGCAGCGGGGCUGGGACCAGAACUCCUGGGUUCUAUUCCCAUCCUUGGGGAAAUACUGGGUUGAGCAUCACAGGGGCAGGUGCACCAGGCACUGGGGCUGUGCGGUUCUCAGUGUCUCAGGACCCUGCCCUGUGCCUGUUUCCCACCUAACUCCCUGCCCUACCCAACAUCUCUGGGCCUCUCAGUGGGAGGAGCUGGCCCACCCCAAACCCAACUUCCAAGUCGGAAUCCAUAUAAGAACACUCGAAGGGGAAGGAGAUUCAGGGAUGCUCAGCUCAGUCAGCAGCUGGAUCCAUCUCUGAGGGGAGCCCCAGGAGUCACAUGAGCCGAGAACAGA